rnacentral:rRNA from 1 species
CCUACGGGAGGCUGCAGUGAGGAAUAUUGGUCAAUGGACGAGAGUCUGAACCAGCCAAGUAGCGUGAAGGAUGACUGCCCUAUGGGUUGUAAACUUCUUUUAUAAAGGAAUAAAACGAGGCACGUGUGCCUUUUUGCAUGUACUUUAGGAAUAAGGAUCGGCUAACUCCGUGCCAGCAGCCGCGGUAAUACGGAGGAUCCGAGCGUUAUCCGGAUUUAGUGGGUUUAAAGGGGGCGUAGAUGGGUUGUUAAGUCAGUUGUGAAAGUUUGCGGCUCAACCGUAAAAUUGCAAUUGAUACUGGCAGUCUUGAGUACAGUUGAGGUAGGCGGAAUUCGUGGUGUAGCGGUGAAAUGCUUAGAUAUCACGAAGAACCCCGAUUGCGAAGGCAGCUUACUAAACUGUGACUGACAUUGAUGCUCGAAAGUGUGGGUAUCAAACAGGAUUAGAUACCCCGGUAGUC